ensembl:lincRNA
ACAUACAUUCCAGGAAUCAAACCAAGAAGUUAAUUUAAAAAAAAAAAACAAUGGAAAUGUGUUGAUCUGCAACCUUGGAUGAUUAUGUUAUAGUUGUGAUACGGAAGGCAAAAGUCAGUUUCAAACAAAACAGAAAAAUCAGGAGGAAAAAAUGCUUACUGUGAACCCACACAUGGCUUUUACUCGACAUCAGAGACUCAAUACAGGAGAGAGACUGAAUGAACUUAAAGGAUGUGAGAAAGCCUUCAUUUCUGCCUCAGACCACACUCAACAUCAGACGGUUCACAUUGAUGAGAAAUUCUGUGAAGAUAAGGAUCUUGGGAAGACAUUUAUUCCUGAUUCAGAAUUUCAGACAGUUCAUACUGGUAUUUUCACCAGCAACCUGUUGCCUCAAAAGUCCAACACUUAGGACUGAACUGAGAAAAACUGUAUGCUACGUUUCUGCUCAAUUCCAAACGGAACUUCAGCAUUCUGGGGAAAGAACAUGGUGCAUGAAAAUGAAACUCACACUUUGUGGGGACAUCAGCAGCCCCCAAAGGCAAAAAACAAAAACAAAAACAAGGACCUUUGAAGGAAAGAGGAAGUGUUCGGUUGUCACGGAGCCAGAGGAGCGCAGCUGGGCAGAGGGAGCACUAUGUCCACCGAAGUCCCAGAGGUGACCCCGGCGGAGGAGCAGAAGGAAAUGGAAGAAGAUAAAGUGACUAAUCCAGAUAAAGCUGAAGAAGCAAAAUUUAAAAGCAAGGUAUCCUCACCUGGGACAAAAGCCUGAACGUUUAGAUUUUUUAAGGAAACGAUUGCAGAAAGGGCAAAAAUAUUUUGAUUCUGGGGAUUGCAACAUGCAAAAGCAAAGACGAACAACAAGCAACUUCCCCUGCAGGCCCGGAUAAGAAAGAGGUCACUGGUGACCAUAUUCCCACUCCCUAGGACCUUCCUCAACGGAAACCAUCCCUUGUUGCUAGCAAGCUGGCUGGCUGAUUAAAAGAGCUGACCUGCAUGAAUUUUCUAAUUCCCAUUAUUUCUCCUCAUAUGUUACUUAUCCACCUUUUAUUCCUUUCAUUCACUAAGCCAUUUAAAUGAGACUGGCGGCUUUGCAGGUAGCCAUAGUAUGUGCUGGAAUAUACAUGUGUAGAGGUUUUGAUUAGUUUUAACAGUGCAUUGAUGAAAAGGACACGUUAGAGCAACAUAAGUAAUCUACUUGAAAGUAUUUGUAUAUAUUACUUAACUCUAAUAAAGGUUCCCACAAGUAAUAAGCAAAUUUUACAAUUUUAAUGUUUUGCCUUCCUCGAUUAUCUUAAUUAUAGCUGUGUAUGUUACUCUUAUUUAAUGUAACCUCUGUAUUGAUUUCUUCUGUAUUUUCCUUCUGGAUUUUGUCAAACAGAAGUUUAAGACCACAAGUUUGAAGAAAGAUCACAAAUUCAAAUGAAAAAAUAAGAGGGGCUUUGAAAGAUUUGUAUUAACUGUGCUUGAACUUGAAUGGCCUUAAACCUGUUUCAGCUUUAACAAUAGAAUUUUAUUUGGGCAAUAUUUGCCCAUUCUGGUGUAACUUACGUGACUCCAGUGCUUAACAGCUGCCAUUGAAGCUAGUAUUCUUAUUUAGUUUUGUAGUGUUAAAUACCUUUCAUUGUUGAAGAUGUGAAUGAAGUAUGCAUGUGCAUUGACUGUUGAAUUCUCUUUUGUGCCAUUUUUAUAAAUACAGUAGUUUUGCACAACCUUUCAACACAAAACAAGAACCUCAAAAAAAUAUAAUUAAAAAUCAUGUGAGACUAGAUAAUUGUAUAGUUACACCCUCAAGGAACAAAAAAAUUCUACAGCAAAUUUGCCAGUUUAUGUUGAUGUAAUUCUUAUAAUUAGAUGACAAUAGCUUCUGAACAACAAAUUCAAAAAUUUCAUUCAGGAAGAUACAUGAAUAAAACAAUAGCUGAACCCAGUAGUUAAUGAAAAAAUAAUAUAUGAUUAAAAUAUAUUAUGCUUAUAAUAUGCUUACAAAUCUUUUAUCUGGAUGGAUGAGAAUCCUGAAUGAAAAUGUACUUUUAGUUUUUACUUACUCAGUUUCUUCUAAGUGCAGAUUUUUUAAAAAUAUUUUUGGUUGUAUAUGGACACAAUACCUUUAUUUUAUUCAUUUUAUUUUUAUAUGGUGCUGAGAGGAUUGAACUCAGUGCCUCACACAUGCUGUAGAGCUCUACCACUGAGUCACAGCCCCAGUCCCUAAGUGCAGUUCUUCUCCCUUUUAGAAUUACCAUCCUCAUUCUGCCCUAACCACCUUUCUUUGCAAGAGUCACUGUUCUAGAAAAAGAAGGAACUAAAUAACCUUUGGGGGAAAAAAAGUAAAAUAAUUUAUUUAUUUUUAUGUGGUGCUGAGGGUUGAACCCAGGACCUCGCAUAUGCUAGGCAAUCGCUCAGUGCACACGUUUAGUACUUUAAUAACUCCUAUCUUUAACAGGUGGAAUUUUACAACUGUCGGGAAAGUAAUUUAUUGUUAUAUAACUUUAUUAUGAUAAACUGGCCAUUUUCAUUAAUGCUGUGUGCUUGUCAUUCUGGGGAUUGAACCCAGGAGCAUUUUACCUCUGAGAUACAUCUUCAUUUCUUUUUUCAAUUUUAUUUUGAGGUAGGAUCUUGCUUAGUGCCCAGUUCAAGUUGGUCUUGAACUUGUGAUUCUUCUGCCUCAGCGUCUCAACUGAAAUUACAGGUGUAUGUCUUCAUGCCUGGCUACAUUUCUUUUCUUUUUUUUUUCCCCAAUAAUUUUUUAAUUGUAACACAGACACAAUAACUUUAUUUUAUUUUUUAUUUUUUUAAAUAUUUUUUUUAGUUGUAGAUGGACAUAAUAUCUUCAUUUUUAUUUAUUUUUAUGUGGUGCUCAGGAUUAAAUCCAGUGCCUCACACAUUUAAGAAAAGUGCCCUAUUUCUGAGCUGCAACCCCAGCCCCUAGAUUUCUUUUCCAAAGUGAUAUGUACACUGAGAAAAAUAUCAUUUAGAGGUUAUCUGAUGAAUCGAUGACCCCAUCACUGGUUUGGGUCACACAUUUAUAGAAAAGUAUAAUUCAUUCCUUUUUCCUUAGGCCCAAACUGCCUUCUCAAGUUUAGGGUAAUUGUUAAUUACCAGUGUUUAAUCCUCACAGUGAAUUUCUGGAUACCCUUUAACGCAUCAUUUGGGCUUCUCCAUUAUCCUCUAUGUAUUCUGAACACUGAUAAUUUUCUAGUAUACCUCACAGAUGACAAACUACCCUCAUUCUGCCCUAACCACCUUUCUUUGCAAGAGUCACUGUAUUGGAACCAUUCUGAAAAAGAAGGACUAAAUAACCUUUGGGGGGAGAAAAAGUAAAAUUAAAUUUAUUCCUGGUAGUGUAAAUCAGACUAAAUUUCUGACAAAUCAAGAGACUUAAUAUAACAAUAAAAAUACAAAAAAGAAACUUCACAAGUAUGACAAGAAAACAUGGCUGGUACCUUUUAUAACCGUAGAAUGGGGAUACCAAUAACUAUUGACUUGAAGAUAGGCAGGGUGGUGCACACCUGUAAUCCCAGCAACUGGAAAGGCUGAGGAAGAAAGAUUGCAAGUUAAAGGUCAUCCUGGGCAACUUGGAGACAUCUUGUCUCAAAUUUUCAAAAAACAAACAAACCAACAACAACAAAUGAAAAAAAAAAAAAAAAGGAAGAGGAAUGAAACGGAAGAGGGAAUAGGAAAGAAAGAGGGUUGGGGAUGGAGUUCAUUUAUAUAGCAUUUGCCUAGCAUGGACAAAGCACUGAGUUCAAUCUCCAGUAUCACAAAAACAAAAAUAACUAUGACUCAGAAAACCCUGCAGAAACAAGGAAGUCAAAUUUUUGUAGGUCUUAAACAAUAUAAAAUGGGAAAAUGAUAAAUUGAGAUAUGAAAGACCCCUAGUAUGAUAUAGAAUUAGGCAAAAAGCAUAAAUAGAUAUUUCAUAGGAAAAGAAAGAAAUGGCCAGGUGUGGUAGUACAUGUCUGAAAUCCCAACAACUGGAAAAAGAAGGGUCUUUCCUUAAUGUUCAGGUAAGUAGUCACCAAUACAUGCACAUGGAGAAACCAUCCUAAGCCAGGGGAAAUCACUACCUUACUUAUCUUUUUGGAAUGUUCUUCUUCCAUAUAUCUGUAUUUCUUUUUUUAAAAAUCUUUAUUUGCUUAUUCAUUUUUUUAAUCAAAUGGGGUAUAAUUUCUUAUUUUUCUGAUUGUACAGGUUGCAGAAUCACAUUGGUCAUACAGUCACCCAUAUACGUACAGCAAUAAUAAUGUCUAUUUUAUUCUGCUGCCCUUUCUAUCCCCCCUUCCCCCUCCCCUCCUCUCCCAUCAUGCUUAUUCAUUUUUUUUUUAAAGAUAGAGAGAGGAUAGAGAGAGAGAGAGAAUUUU